CAUUCGAUUUCUAAAAUUAGUACAAUUUGUUCAAAGAACUGUCAAAUUUAGAAAAUAGCGUAUAGCGAAAUCGUGUACAUCGAGUAUGGCAUAUAUCGGGGAAUACCUGUAUAGCCACACGAGGAAGGCGCUGCUUCGUGUUCACAUGAAAAUGUGGUAGUGUGAAAUCAAAUUUUGCAAGCGGUAGGACGCGUCGGUGGGUGCUCGUUUUUUCUCUCGUUAAACCAGUACGGAAAAAAACUAUUUGAUAUCGUAACACACGCACGAACGGAAGUGAGCACGGAUCACGAUAGAAGCAAUAUUCAAUUGGUUGGAGUGCCGAAAACAGAACAGGAGAGGAAAGAAGGCAGGAACGAUCCGAUCCUCCAACGUGCUAUCGCCUGAGGAGGAGAAGCGGCUGGAAGGUAGGGACGAACAUCCAGCUCGCGAGUGCAGCACGUGGGAGCAGCAAGAGGGAGGCAAGCAGGACGCGUACACACCAUUCGACGAAGGCAAAGCUGGAGGAAAAGAAGAACGAGGAGAGAAGGCAGGCAAGACGGGUACGUGUGUAUCCCACACCGGUUUUUGGCAGUGUGAAUUGUGUGAGUUUGUAAAUAUGUAUGUGCGAGUAAGAAGGUAAAAUAAA